UAGGAAACCACAGCUCUGGUUGAAAACCAAGAUGAAGACCCACUAGAAGAUCCAAAUCUCCAUUUGAAUAUUGAGGAAUCAAACCAAGAGUUUAUGGCAAAAAGUGAAGAACUCUACGACUCCCUCAUGAAUUGCCACUGGCAGCCUCUGGAUACAGUUUACUCUAAAAUCCCAGAUGAGACCCCAAAGUGAGGCAAGGUAUUCGUUAAGCUCCCCAACUUUCAUA